rnacentral:misc_RNA from 1 species
UUGCAGCAGAAGACCUUAGCCUGAG